rnacentral:tRNA from 1 species
GGUUUUAUAUUCACAAAUGAUGCUAGAUUGCAAAUCUAGAGGAGUAAAUAAAAUGUUUACUAAGACUU